AGAGAGAGACAUGCGCGCAUAUCAAUAAGCGGAGGAAAAGAAACUAACAAGGAUUCCCCUAGUAACGGCGAGUGAAGCGGGAAGAGCUCAAAUUUGAAAUCUUAAAGGGUUUCCCUUUACGAAUUGUAGUUUAAAGAAGUGUUUUCUGUUGAGGUUUUGGUAAAAGUUCUUUGGAAUAGGACAUCAUAGAGGGUGAGAAUCCCGUAUUUGACCAUUACUUUCCACUUUGUGAUACACUUUCAAAGAGUCGGAUUGUUUGGGAAUGCAGUCCAAAAUGGGUGGUAAAUUUCAUCUAAAGCUAAAUAUUGGCGAGAGACCGAUAGCGAACAAGUACCGUGAGGGAAAGAUGAAAAGAACUUUGAAAAGAGAGUUAAACAGUACGUGAAAUUGUCAAAAGGGAAGCGUUUGACACCAGUGUUGUUUUUCUGAAAAUCAAUUAAAGAACUGUUUAUGCUAAGCUGUUUAGACUUUAUCAGCUAUACUGUUUAGUUUUGAGCUUUUCUUUAAUGCACUUUUCAGUUAACAAGUCAACAUCAAUUUCUUUUGCUGUAAAAAAGCUUGAGGAAGGUGGCUUGAGAUUCGUCUUAAGUGUUUAUAGCCUCUUGCCUAUGCAGUCGGAGAGAUUGAGGUCUGCAGCGUAGAUCCUUCGGGGCUAAAUGCAUUUGUGCUAAGUUAUAGCCUUUCAUAGACAACUUGUUGACUAUGAUCUGUCAUGUAGCUUACUCGCUUAUGCUAUUUUACCUACGCUUAGGAUGUUGAUGUGAUACUGCGAGCA
rnacentral:rRNA from 1 species